AGAAAACCUUUAAACUUCAAAUAUAGAGUUUUGGAAACUUCAAAAUAGAGUUCUUUUUUGGAAAUGCUAUAAAAAGUAAAAAGAAUAUAUUUUCUUAUUCCUUUUGAAGCAGAUUAAUAUGUGAAAUUUAAGAUUUAUAAGACGCCAAAUAAUAUAUUUGAAUAGCAUCUUCAAGAUGUAUAUAGUGUCAACCUAUCAAUAAGUCUGACGGUCUUUUUCCGUAACAAUGGGGCCUGUGAAUUUACAUUAAUAACUUUAUUAUCUAAUUUGUUUCCAAUUGACUGAUGACUAACAUUGUACCAGUUCGUUCUUGAUCAAAGGAACUUGCAAUAUUGUGGGCUGGCCCAAAAUAAGUACCGAUGUGCUAACAUAGUUAAAAACUAAAAAUGAUACAUUAGACCAAUUUGUCUUCUUAAGAUGCUACUAAGAUAGGAAACACAAUGAUAUAUAAUACACAUAUAUUAUUAAAUUUGUUUAUCACCAAGUUGUAAUAUUUGGAAUAAAUUAAGAAAAAAAAAACUAAAUAAAUCUUAUUUUGAGAUAGUCCAUGAUAUUGCCCAAACCAGUGGAACUACCCGGUACUCCAUAGUGGCCCGUUAAAAAAAAAAGAAACUAAGUUGAGGAAGCCUACACAAAAAUAAUAGAACAUGCGAGCCUCAAGGAUACCAGUAAAUUUUGGUCACCUAAAUAUUAAUUUUGGUCACCUAAAUAAUGUUUGAUUAGUUUCCCAAAAAUAUCAUCAAAGUUUGUGUUCUUACUUUUUUUUCAUCUAAUUUUGUUUUUGGAAGUUUUGUGCAAAAGUGAUCCUACACAAGGUUUUUGGUCUGAAAAGGCCAAUAAUAAGUUAUGAUGUUGGGGUUCAAGCGAUGGGCUCUCUUAUACUGGGCUUAUUCAAUAAAUGUGGCUUUUUCAAUAUAGUUUAAGUACUCCCUCUGUUUUUUAAUGUUAAAUAUUCUAGUUUUUUCACACAUUUUAAUAAAACACAUUAAAUUUGCUAAUUUU
rnacentral:lncRNA from 1 species